CGCUUAUGCGUUGUUGGGUAGGGGAGCGUUCUGUAAGCCUGUGAAGGUGGCCUGUGAGGGUUGCUGGAGGUAUCAGAAGUGCGAAUGCUGACAUAAGUAACGAUAAAGCGGGUGAAAAGCCCGCUCGCCGGAAGACCAAGGGUUCCUGUCCAACGUUAAUCGGGGCAGGGUGAGUCGACCCCUAAGGCGAGGCCGAAAGGCGUAGUCGAUGGGAAACGGGUUAAUAUUCCCGUACUUGGUGUUACUGCGAAGGGGGGACGGAGAAGGCUAUGUUGGCCGGGCGACGGUUGUCCCGGUUUAAGCGUGUAGGUGUGUGUUCCAGGUAAAUCCGGUUCACUUUAACACUGAGGCGUGAUGACGAGGCACUACGGUGCUGAAGCAACAAAUGCCCUGCUUCCAGGAAAAGCCUCUAAGCAUCAGGUAACAUCAAAUCGUACCCCAAACCGACACAGGUGGUCAGGUAGAGAAUACCAAGGCGCUUGAGAGAACUCGGGUGAAGGAACUAGGCAAAAUGGUGCCGUAACUUCGGGAGAAGGCACGCUGACAUGUAGGUGAAGCGGUUUACCCGUGGAGCUGAAAUCAGUCGAAGAUACCAGCUGGCUGCAACUGUUUAUUAAAAACACAGCACUGUGCAAACACGAAAGUGGACGUAUACGGUGUGACGCCUGCCCGGUGCCGGAAGGUUAAUUGAUGGGGUCAGCGCAAGCGAAGCUCCUGAUCGAAGCCCCGGUAAACGGCGGCCGUAACUAUAACGGUCCUAAGGUAGCGAAAUUCCUUGUCGGGUAAGUUCNGACGCCUGCCCGGUGCCGGAAGGUUAAUUGAUGGGGUCAGCGCAAGCGAAGCUCCUGAUCGAAGCCCCGGUAAACGGCGGCCGUAACUAUAACGGUCCUAAGGUAGCGAAAUUCCUUGUCGGGUAAGUUCCGACCUGCACGAAUGGCGUAAUGAUGGCCAGGCUGUCUCCACCCGAGACUCAGUGAAAUUGAACUCGCUGUGAAGAUGCAGUGUACCCGCGGCAAGACGGAAAGACCCCGUGAACCUUUACUAUAGCUUGACACUGAACAUUGAGCCUUGAUGUGUAGGAUAGGUGGGAGGCUUUGAAGCGUGGACGCCAGUCUGCGUGGAGCCGACCUUGAAAUACCACCCUUUAAUGUUUGAUGUUCUAACGUGGACCCGU
rnacentral:rRNA from 1 species